UACGUAGGGGGCAAGCGUUGUCCGGAAUCAUUGGGCGUAAAGAGCGUGUAGGCGGUCCGGUAAGUCGGCUGUGAAAGUCCAGGGCUCAACCCUGGGAUGCCGGUCGAUACUGCCGGACUAGAGCUCGGAAGAGGCGAGUGGAAUUCCCGGUGUAGCGGUGAAAUGCGCAGAUAUCGGGAGGAACACCUAUGGCGAAGGCAGCUCGCUGGGACGUUACUGACGCUGAUACGCGAAAGCGUGGGGAGCAAACAGG
rnacentral:rRNA from 1 species